rnacentral:rRNA from 1 species
GACGAACCGUCCUAACGUUGUUCGGAAUCACUGGGCUUAAAGGGCGCGUAGGCGGCCUUUCGAGUCGGGGGUGAAAUCCCACGGCCCAACCGUGGAAGUGCCUCCGAUACUGGAAGGCUCGAGGGGGGUAGGGGCAGGUGGAACUUCCGGUGGAGCGGUGAAAUGCGUUGAUAUCGGAAGGAACGCCGGUGGCGAAAGCGACCUGCUGGACCUCUUCUGACGCUGAGGCGCGAAAGCCAGGGGAGCGAACGGG